CCAGACUCCUACGGGAGGCAGCAGUGGGGGAUAUUGCACAAUGGGGGGAACCCUGAUGCAGCGACGCCGCGUGAGUGAAGAAGUAUUUCGGUAUGUAAAGCUCUAUCGGCAGGGAAGAAAAAAAUGACAGUACCUGACUAAGAAGCCCCGGCUAACUACGUGCCAGCAGCCGCGGUAAUACGUAGGGGGCAAGCGUUAUCCGGAUUUACUGGGUGUAAAGGGAGCGUAGGCGGCCAUGCAAGUCAGAAGUGAAAACCCGGGGCUCAACCCUGGGAGUGCUUUUGAAACUGUGCGGCUAGAGUGUCGGAGGGGUAAGUGGAAUUCCUAGUGUAGCGGUGAAAUGCGUAGAUAUUAGGAGGAACACCGGCGGCGAAGGCGGCCUGCUGGACCGUGACUGACGUUGAGGCUCGAGAGCGUGGGGAGCAAACAGGAUUAGAUACCCGAGUACU
rnacentral:rRNA from 1 species